GUGAAUUUGGUCAGUUUUGUGGAAUGCAAACACUUUAGAAAUUAGGUCUUUGUAGCAACGGAUGAGUUUUAAGAGUUAGCUGUUUACAUGGUAAUUAUUUUGUUUUGGGUUUACAACAUUCACCUAUUUAUAUUGCUUGAUAAUGAUACUGCAAAUAUACCGUCAGAAUUUGUGAGAGAUUAGUAGACUCACAAUUUUUGUAGAAGGCGAGUAUUCCCCACUUCAUGGCACCAUGUAUGACAAUAUGUAGCAUGGAUUUCCAGCUUAGCACCAUAAACAAUACGGCAGCUGGGUCUAUUUGUCACAAUACUCUUGAAUAUCUGUCUCUCUUGGAAUCUCUCUAUGCUAUACACCUAACAACACCUCCAUUUUCUCAUGCUGCCAAGCCCAGAGCAAUGGUCUUCCAUGCUGAAUGGUUCUCAUUGCUGGCUCUGGCAAUGAGGAUGACCUAGUGAAUGGCAUUCUUGGUAAUUAAUAACAUACAUUGCUGUAACACUGGGAUUGAUUUGAUGCAUCAUGAUUGAUAAACAUCCACUCCAUAAACAAUACGGCAGCUGGGUCUAUUUGUCACAAUACUCUUGAAUAUCUGUCUCUCUUGGAAUCUCUCUAUGCUAUACACCUAACAACACCUCCAUUUUCUCAUGCUGCCAAGCCCAGAGCAAUGGUCUUCCAUGCUGAAUGGUUCUCAUUGCUGGCUCUGGCAAUGAGGAUGACCUAGUGAAUGGCAUUCUUGGUAAUUAAUAACAUACAUUGCUGUAACACUGGGAUUGAUUUGAUGCAUCAUGAUUGAUAAACAUCCACUCCUUGAAUGAGAGAGAUUCUAAGGAGCUUCAUAGUUUUAGAAUAAAAAAAGAUUCAAGAACUUGCAGUU
rnacentral:lncRNA from 1 species